GUGGGGAAUAUUGGACAAUGGGGGGAACCCUGAUCCAGCUAUGCCGCGUGUGUGAAGAAGGCCUUUUGGUUGUAAAGCACUUUAAGCGAGGAGGAGGCUACCGAGAUUAAUACUCUUGGAUAGUGGACGUUACUCGCAGAAUAAGCACCGGCUAACUCUGUGCCAGCAGCCGCGGUAAUACAGAGGGUGCAAGCGUUAAUCGGAUUUACUGGGCGUAAAGCGCGCGUAGGUGGCCAAUUAAGUCAAAUGUGAAAUCCCCGAGCUUAACUUGGGAAGUGCAUUCGAUACUGGUUGGCUAGAGUAUGGGAGAGGAUGGUAGAAUUCCAGGUGUAGCGGUGAAAUGCGUAGAGAUCUGGAGGAAUACCGAUGGCGAAGGCAGCCAUCUGGCCUAAUACUGACACUGAGGUGCGAAAGCAUGGGGAGCAAACAGGAUUAGAAACCCGAGUAGUCC
rnacentral:rRNA from 1 species